GGGCAGGUUCGUGUCCAGCUCUACGAACGGCAUGUCCGGCGGGAGAGUGAGGAGGGCAGGCCGGGAGAGGACGCGCCGAGUCCUCAGACUCCCAGCGGUCCUGGACCAAGGCUCUCUUCUAUGGCCUGGGAAAGCAGCAGAAGAUGGCCCAAGUCCUUGGGCCCCUGCACCCACAUGGGAGAUCUGGAAGAAGCUCCUGGCUCCUGGCUUCAGAUCAGCAUAACUCUGGUUGUGCAGUCAGUGGGGGAAUGACCCAGCAGAUGGAAGACACCCCCCCCACCUCUCCUCUCUGUGUGUAACUCUUUCAAAUAAACAAAUAAAUAUUAAAAGAAAAAAAA